rnacentral:rRNA from 1 species
UACAGAGGUCCCAAGCGUUGUUCGGAUUCACUGGGCGUAAAGGGUGCGUAGGCGGUCGGGUAAGUCUGACGUGAAAUCUCCGAGCCUAACUCGGAAACUGCGUCGGAUACUAUUCGGCUUGAGGAUUGGAGGGGAGACUGGAAUUCUCGGUGUAGCAGUGAAAUGCGUAGAUAUCGAGAGGAACACCAGCGGCGAAGGCGAGUCUCUGGACAAUUCCUGACGCUGAGGCACGAAAGCCAGGGGAGCAAACGGG